GCAAUUGCUGUAAAUUAACAGCCAAUUUUCAACAGUAAAACACUGUUUUCAUGUUAAACAGUUUAGUACUGUAGUUAGCAAUGCAUUGUGGGCUGAUUAAAUUGGAGCAACAAGACAGAGGCCCUCAACAGUAAGUUGAUGUUUUAAAUUACAGGACAAUACAGUAUUUUCUCGAAAAUGCGUGUUGACUGGGGAAUUUGGAGCACGGUCAGAAGCUAAGCAAUGUUAGUCUUAUAAAUUGAAGCUAGCCUAUUACUUUUGGUCAAUUUUCUUUAAAAAAUACAGAUAUAAUUUGCCAUUAACUCCUGGAUGGAAUUUCGGGAACCAUUAUUUGGAUAGGAGAUUUUCCAGAAGAGGACGUACAAUUUAGAUGACGUGCUGCACAUCGUCAAGUGUUCUUCAUCAAAUUGAUCGGGUCUUGCAUCUACAAAUGAAACGGUAAUUCAAAUCUUAUUCAUAUUGCCAAGAAUGCUUGAUAUCAACUGAUAGAAGCUUAUCUUAUAGGGAUUUAAACGUGUCAUCUAACAGUGAGGCUUAGAUUUGAAUAGCCAUUAACAAUAUUACUUUUACUUCUGAAUUUGAGAAACAACACUUAUUAAAGAAUUUAUUUCAACCAAACCAUAGGAUUAUAUGAACAUCGACUAACCGAGAGGGUUUUUUUGAGUUUUAUUUUGUUUGUGUUGACUUUAUUGAAAAGUGUUUUACAAACAGUUAACAAGAAAAUAAAGCUAAUUGUAGCUCGGUUAAAGUUGAACUUUGCAUUUUUCUUUUUAAACGCCAAAUUGGUGUAAAAUAUUGUCUUUCUGGACUCUUUGUGAAUGCAAUGUGUGUACUAAUUUGUGAGAGUACUACUACAUAUGUAAAAAGAGAGGUGUAAAUUAUUUUGUGGUUUAAAGGAUGCUGCAUGUAAAUUGUUACCCUUUAAAUUUUGGAUGUCAAAUAUAUUUAGAAGUUUGAUUGUAGGUACUUCAGAAGCCUACCUCGUUCACCUCUUGGUUACAUUCCACCGAGUGUUUACUAGUUAUUGUCCUUUUUAUAAAUGUUCAUCUUAAAAAUAUUAUUAUGGUAAGGAUAAUGUAUUUGUUCCCUUCAGGUAUCUGCCACUGCAGUUGAUGUUGAGACAACUCUCAGUCUUCCUGCAAGUCCUCGCCUGAUACCUGUUUCAAGUGCUACAAGGCAAGUCACAAUUAAAGGUUGGAUGAUCACCUUUAAGGGCUGUGUAAUCUCUGAGGGCAUCACACCAACAUUUGCAAUUGGACUUGCUGCUAUGUUUGCAACCUACAACAUUUUAAGCCUUCAGUAUCAAGAUGAGACAGCCUGCCCUGUGGAAUUCAAAAUUAAUGUGUUUGUAUGUUAUGCAUAAAAUGGAAUUAGUACUGUACAUUUCAAGCCUCAACACUUACACACCUACACAUACACACACACACACGCACGCACGCAUGCACGCACGCACGCACGCACACACACACACACACACACACACACACACACAGGGUAUAGACUUUUUUAUAACUCCAUUUGAUGUCAUUAAAUCCACUCAAUUUGUGCAAUGAAGAAGACAAAAAACAAUUAAUUGCUUUUGAUUUCAGGCGCUUCAUUGAUAUAAAUCCAGAGAGAGGGACAAAUGCCAAAAUCAUCAAGCAAGGUUGUCUCUAAGAAGAAAGGUGUGAUGGUCCAGAAGUCGUCUUCUGCAGUCAUGUGGCCAUGCUACUGAAGAAUCUCCUUGACUUUUUAAUGGAACUUCAUAUAGAUCUUGGCAGCACUGGAAUAAUGCUGCAGAGAGGAACAGCGGCUAUCAAAGUGAUGAUCGUCUCUUCUGGAUCCACAAGAACUAAGAUGUAAAAACACAAACCUACCUCACAGGACAAUUUUAAGAGGUAACCUGCAAGUCUAGCUUGCAGUGGCACAGGUGCCUACCCUACGGUUUCAUCCUAAAUGUUUUUAUGCAUAUUAUUGAUACAUCCUGACAAAAUGUUCUACUGUACUAUAAUAGUUUCAAAAUGGCCUUAGGUAUGUUUUCAAACUUAUGUCUUAAAUAAAAAAGUAAACUAUAGGUUAUGCCCUUCACAUUUGGUAAGGAUUAGGGGCAGUCUUUGACGAGCAAUUUAAGAAUGUUAAGUUUAUUGCCAUAGUCUAAAGCAAGACACUACUGUUUCUGUUUACUUCUAGAAAGCUCUUUUCAGCAUUGUCCAACUGGAUUUAUUUUCUUUACUUUUUUUGUAGUCAUGUUGACAUAGACAUUGUUCUUUGAAAUAAAGGUGUUUGAUUUGGAAGUUUUUGUUGCUUAUUUUGCAUAAUAUUCACAAUAAUGCAUAUCUUAAGCAACUGUCUUUAGCCCUGGGAAUUCAUUGGCAAGUUCAUUGGGAGAUAUUUAUUUUAAAUAUCAAUGAAGAAUUUUUAGAAACUGCUAAAUUGAUGUUAUUUCUAAUACAGUAAAAAAUGCUGCAUA